rnacentral:rRNA from 1 species
UCCGGUGGUUCUGUAUGGAAGGGCCAUCGCUCAACGGAUAAAAGGUACUCUGGGGAUAACAGGCUGAUUCCUCCCAAGAGUUCAUAUCGACGGGGGAGUUUGGCACCUCGAUGUCGGCUCAUCACAUCCUGGGGCUGUAGCCGGUCCCAAGGGUAUGGCUGUUCGCCAUUUAAAGUGGUACGCGAGCUGGGUUCAGAACGUCGUGAGACAGUUCGGUCCCUAUCUGCCGUGGGCGUUGGAAAUUUGAGAGGAUCUGUUCUUAGUACGAGAGGACCGGAAUGGACAAACCUAUGGUGAUCCUGUUGUUGCGCCAGUGGCAUCGCAGGGUAGCUAAGUUUGGAAUGGAUAACCGCUGAAAGCAUCUAAGCGGGAAGCCAGCCUCAAGAUAGAUUUCCCGGGAGUAUAACUCUCCUAAAGGUCACAGCAAGACUAGCUGUUUGAUAGGCUGGAUGUGUAAGUGCAGCAAUGUAUUUAGCUUACCAGUACUAACCGACCGUGAGGCCUCACUUU